rnacentral:tRNA from 1 species
AUGUAGCUCAGUGGUGGAGCACUUGCCUAGCAUGUGCAAGAGGGCCUUGGGUUUGACUCCCAGUAU